GAUGAACGCUGGCGGCGUGCCUAAUACAUGCAAGUCGAGCGAACAGAUAAGGAGCUUGCUCCUUUGACGUUAGCGGCGGACGGGUGAGUAACACGUGGGUAACCUACCUAUAAGACUGGAAUAACUCCGGGAAACCGGGGCUAAUGCCGGAUAACAUUUAGAACCGCAUGGUUCUAAAGUGAAAGAUGGUUUUGCUAUCACUUAUCGAUGGACCCGCGCCGUAUUAGCUAGUUGGUAAGGUAACGGCUUACCAAGGCAACGAUACGUAGCCGACCUGAGAGGGGGAUCGGCCACACUGGAGCUGAGACACGGUCAAGACGACUAAGGGAGGCAGCAGUAGGGAAUCUUCCGCAAUGGGCGAAAGCAUGACGGAGCAACGUCGCGUGAGUGAUGAAGGUCUUCGGAUCGUAAAACUCUGUUAUUAGGGAAGAACAAAUGUGUAAGUAACUGUGCACGUCUUGACGGUACCGAAUCAGAAAGCCACGGCUAACUACGUG
rnacentral:rRNA from 1 species